GCCACGACAACCAAGGCAACUCUUAUAAAAUGAAGCACUUAAUUGGGCCUGGCUUACCAUUUCAGAGGGCGAAUCCAUUAUCCUCAUAUUGAGAGGCAGACAGGCAUGGUACUGUAGAUGAGAACUUUAUACCCUCAUCCACAGGCAGCUGGCAGCAGCCAGAAUGAGAGAGGGGUUGGGGGAGGGGAGAGAGGAGAGACAGACUAGGCCUAGUGUGGAUUUUUGAAACCUCAAAGCCCACUUCCAGCUGCACAGCUCUUUUAACAAGGACACAGCUCCUCCAACAGCCACAGCUCCCAAACACUUCAUCAAAUGGUGAUUUAUCAUGGAAAUAUAUGAGAAUGUAUGAGGUCAUUCUCAUUUAAACUACCAAUCAUGGGAUGGUUGCCUUGUCACAUGGGUGCUGGGAUCUAACUUCAAUUCUCAUGAUUACACGAUCGUGACACCACUACUGCUAUCCCAACACGAUUGAACUGGACUGCUGGUGUGCCUGUGAAGUGUUUCAGAGUGGACUGAGCUGCUGUUGCUGACCUGUAACCUGAACUGCUGAUUUCCUGACAAUGCAGAUGGCAUUUCCUUCAAAGAACCAUUUCUAAAUAGAUGCCUGGAAAAGAGCUGGGUGAGUUCAAACCCUCAAGACCCUCCGAGGCAGUGGUUAGAAGCAUAGAUUUUAAUUUAUGAGAGUAAAGCAGAAGAGACAAGAAAGGACAACAUAGGAAACAGCACACAGAAGGGGAGGAGCAAGAGGGCAUAUGUGAUGGAUUGUGACCUGGAAGUGUAAGCCAAAGGAACUCUCCACUCGCCUGUCAAUUGCUUUAAGUCAGAAAGUUUUAUAACAGCAACAGAAUGAAACUGAUGCAGACUCAUAGCACGCUCCAUUGAACACUGAGACUCAAAGGGAGGCAUCUUUCCAAAGGGCAUUUUAUCGAUAACAAGAAAAGACUAGCUCAAAGAUGCCGCAUGUCAAUGAAGCAGACAGCCCAGCUCCCCACUUCCCACAGGAAUCCCACGAAGAGGAGCUGAGUAUCCAAUUGUAACUGUGGCUUAAGGAUCCAGAUGACAUCUCCAUGAAACCGUUGCUACCUGUUGAAGUUCCCAUCGCCUUCCAGUAGUUCCACACGAAGGCUACCAAACCUUUAACAGAUGAUCCUUUGGGGAGAAAACUUCAGCUCUAAAUUACAAGAAAGGUCAUGCCUUUCUAUAGAUGGACCUGCUGCUGUAUCUGAAACAUCAUAAAUAUUCAUUGAACAAACAAGUAAAUAUAAAUAUGAAUGAAUGAAUGAAUGAAUGAGGAAGUGUUGGAAUGAAAGGGCAUGAAGAAGUGAAUGAACGAGUUAGUAGCUGAGUGAGUGACUGCGGGACUGAAUGAAUAAACAGAUAAAUCACAGAGGCUCUACGUAGGAGGCUCCUUGUGGGGCAAGUGGACCAUGCCACAGACAGAAGAACUGGUGAGGCUGGACAGGCUCAGACCCUAGGAACUCUCAGAAUUGAGAAUGUCAGGAGUAGAUCCAUCUCCCUGCCAAGCUCUACUUGUUCUGGAAUAUGUGAGCAUGAUACCCCACUGAGAGGGUGAUGACCAUCAGACACAUAUGGACAACAGCCUGAAGUUUUUCUCCAUGCAAAUAGAGCAUCCAUAACACCUCAGAUUAACGCAAUGUGAUGCCUUUUCUCCUAGAUACCAUCCUACUCCUAAAAUGUUUAUAAGGUCCCUAUUCAUAUGGAAUAAAGUACACAAGUUAUUACACCAAG
rnacentral:lncRNA from 1 species